AAGAAGAUACAUAAUAUGGCAACAUGCAAUACAACUCUCAGCAUUAGAAUCAAUGACAUGCAACCACAAAUGACUAAUUCUUUGUGGAAUAUACACUUGAUUAAAACAAGAACUUUGUUCAAAAAGAAGAAUUCUAUUUCUACAAAAAAUUAAUGGCAAUAUAUUUUUGACUAAGAUGCUAUCAGAAAUAGGCAAGGCAAUAAGGUUAGAACAAGCCUACGAGAAGUGAAUAGUAGAAAUUCAACUUUUGUAUUAAAGAAAUGUAAUUUGAAAGGAAAAUGGUAUUCUUUGUGAUUUUUAAAUUUAUAAUAGAAAGGUGUCUGAAUUGGAGACUUACACACCCUAUUCCUGACUUAGACCUCACUACUAUUGUAUUUUAUGAAGUUUUCUUGAAAAUAAAUUGGCACUUGGCUGUAGAAAAUAAAAUAAAACUUGCAAUAAGAAGAUCCUAAAAACUCUAAUAGAAUCCUAAACAAAUUUCAAUUAAAUUAUAAUAAUACUAAUCAAUCUUUAAUUAAACUCCAAAAGAAUCUUAAAGAACUUAUAAAAGAAACAUAAAGAAAUCAUAAAUUAAUGUUAAAGAAAUAUAUAUAAUAAA
rnacentral:lncRNA from 1 species